rnacentral:lncRNA from 1 species
GGUGGGACUCCAAGAAGGGGGUAUAUUAGAUAAACAGAGUUAGUUAGAUAACAACUAUAGGUUGUUAGAAUAAUAGUUACAAAUACAAACUAUAAAUAUGUAAUCAUACAAUUGAUAUCUCAAUACAAUUUGGUAAUCUUUCCACCAUCUUAUAAGUUGUUAAUGAGUAAAUUGCUUUUCUGAGAUGGUAUCGGUUGAUUAAGGAAUAGAAAAUUUCACAACUCAUUUUCUUUUUUUCCCACGAUCGUCGUACCCUUCUCUCGUCGUGAUCUCUCCUUCCGACCUAGAUCUAUUCGGUUUUGUCUCGCCGGGAUCUGGUUUUUCCACUGAAGAUUUCAUUGAUUAGGGUUGUUCACUUCCGCGUAUUCGUCGAGAUCUGCAGAUUUGGGUGCUUGUGAUUGGUGGCUUGUUUUUUGACAAUUGUGUGAUGGCAACGAACAAUCCCAAUGAUAGAAUGACUCUCUCCUCCAUGAUGCUUUAUUUAAAUGUCAGGUCUCACAUUGGAUGGAGUUGCGACCUAUCUCUUCUAGAGAAGUCAAAUGGUAAAUUUAUUUCGUUUAAACCAUGUAUACGAUAUUGUCAAUGAAAAACAGGAAAUACCACCUGAAAAGAAGGCUGAUGGUUCACCAAAUCCGACGCAUCAAAUCUGGUUAGAGAAAAAUUGGCCAGUUCUUGGUUGGAUUCAAGCGGCGGUUAGACCGUUAAUGCUUUCUUUAGUGAUGAAUCAUGAAACUGCGUAUGACUGUUGGCAGAAAUUAGAGACACAUUUAUCACCAAGGAAAUCAAGACAUCAAUAAUCCAUCCGUGAUGAGCUUAGAAAUUUAAAGAAGAGAUGAUGAAUCAAUGAGAGACUUUGUUAUCAAAGUAAGAGCAUUGACUGAUUCAUUGGCUGCUGCUGGUGAAGUAGUGAACGACAAGACUAUUAUAGACUUUGUUGUUGAUGGUUUGGGUCCAGAAUUUUGUCCGUUUUGUUCUUCACGUCAUUCACAAUCUAGGCUACUUUAUGAUGAAUUUCUAUAGAUGGUAGUGCAAGAAGAUAGUUACCUUCGAAGAAUGAAUGUAAUUGGGAAUGCAAACAACAUUGAGAUGUCUUCUGCAUUGGUUGCCAACUACAAGAAAAACUAUCUUCAAAACAGAAAUAAAGACUAUAGAUCUUUCAACAAUAACAACGGAACACAUGGACAGAGAAUAUUAUAACAAUAAUAUCAAUGGAAAUCGAAGAUCAUCGGGGAGAUUUUGUAGAGACUCCCGUUAUGUCGCCUUUGAAGAAAAACCUUGUCAGUUAUUUGGUCCUUCACAACAACAAACAAUGAGUCAAAUAUAAAAUAACAGUUAUUAUCCCUGCAAAAUUACUGAACGGAUAAUAAUGGAGUUUUUAGAGAGGAUACGUGCAGAAUAUUACGAAGAAGGAAGUUUGUGGACCCGUUUGUAAAAUUACCAUUCCCCAGAUGUUUAAUUUGGAGAUGAGAGCCAUUACCUAGCUGAGUCGAUCCUGGUCCAUGAUAUGGAAGUAGUGACGAGAUUGACUAAGCGUUCGGGGUAAAGUGAUGUGUUGCACCGGUGUUUGGGUACCACACAGCUAUAUCAUUUUGAUCAAACUCACUUGAGAAGUUUGGAUCGGUGGAAUAAGUGUGAUUUGUUGAGGGUUGCCGUGCAAAUUGUUGAAAUUAGCUUCAAGUGGAUUGGCUUUGGGCUGGUGAGUUUGGCUGAUGGGUUGGAUUGUAAAUGGGAAUAUUUUGAGUGUGGUAGUUAUCAGAGUUAUUUUGAUAAUUAAUUCCUUCUUGAACUUGGGUCACGUAGUUUAAAUUUGGAUUUAUGUUUGAGUUAUUGGGCUGGGCCAUGUAAGGAGAUAGGAUAACUCUAUAUGAACAUUUAUAUGGGGAGUGACCCAUACCCCCACAAACCGGGUACGGGUUACGACGGGGCAAGGCUACCCGUCUUCUCCCAUUUCCAGAUCGUUGGCCGUUACCUCCUCUCCCGUUUCCGCGUCCUCUGUUUCCGGCUGCAAAUCUCGAUGGACUUCCACCAAAAUUUGAGGAAGUCAAAUUCGACAUGGCCCCUACCAGUUGCCUCAUUUUUAUCCGGAUUUGGUGGCUUACCAAGACCUUUAGCAACUCCUCAAAACUCAUCGCCAUUUGCCUAAUCGCAAGUGUUGUCACCGCCUCGCCGUAGUCUGUAGUGAGGUUGUUGUAUACGAUGGCGUUGAAGAUCCCGGUAGGCACUUUAGCAUCGGCCGUCGCUAGUUCAUCGGAGAUUAAUUUUGCUCGCCGGAGAUAGACGUCGACGUCCUCAUCGGAGCUCAUCAAGUUAUUUUGAAGUUGCAUUUGAAGUUGUAAGAUUUUUGACUUCGACGGUCUACUAUAUGCGGAUUUAAGAGUCUCUCAAAUAUCGACGACGGAUUCGAGUCUGACGAUCAUCGAAAGCACCUCCUCGGAGAGUGAAGAUAAGAUCCAACUUACAAGUAGUUGAUCCUUGCAUCACCAUGCCAUAUAGAUUGGGCAUGUUAGAGAGGGAGUCGAUGAAGGGAUCGAUCUAUCGAUCAAGUGAUUCAACCCAAAACAAUUUAGAAGAGGGUUGAAUUGUAUUUUCCAUAGCAAGUAAUUUGUGCUUGAUAGCUUAAUGUGCAAAAAACUUUGAAUGGACCCAAAAGAUGAGGAUUCGGCAAGCACAUUAUGGGAUUGAGUGGGAAACAAUGGUGGAUUAGAACUUCCAACCGCAUUGCUUCCAAAAUUUCCAGCAUUGAACAUCGCCGGAUUGGGCACCGUGGUGCCAGCGAUACCAUGCACCAAGUUGUGGAUUGAAGAACAUCGGAUUGGGCAUUGCAUUGCUGGUGAUGUCACCACUAAGUUGUGGAUUUGUGAGCAACGGAUUUGCCUCAGGAACUCUCUCUGCGAAUGAUACCAUGUUAGAUUGAUGAGAUUCAUCAUCAUUGAAAGGAGGAAUGGAGAUGAUCUUGUGAGCCAUGUAGACGAUGGAUGAAAGGGAAAAAAGGAGAGAAUAAGUUUGAACAAUCAAAAGCUUGUUGUUGCCUCUUUAUUAGGUGUAUAUUUAUAGGGCCAGCUUCUAGCGGGAACCACAUCUGUGAGAACUUUGCAUCUGAAUCUUAUAUCUAGAUCUAAUGGUACUUAUGAAUAUAGUUUAUUAUUUAAAUUAUUUAAGGGUGAAGAUCCCCAUGCACUUCCAUUUUUUUGUCACAGAAAUUUCAACGGUCCAGAUGUGGUUCUCAUAUAGUUCUCACAGAUGUGGUUUUCACUAGAAACGUUCUCUAUAUUUAUAUACACUUAGAGUAACAACCCACUCAUAUUGUAGUGGAGGUUAUUACCAUAAUAUUGGAAUAAUAGAAUAUAAGUAUUAUAUAUUUGGUUAAUUAUAAUAUUUAUAUUCCAAUACAUUGGUCAUCACGAAAAUAGGUCACGGUACGUAGAGAGGUCAAGUACGAAGGAGAAAUACUAUGCAAUCGCGACGACAGUAGAAGAACUUGAGUCAGUUAGAUCGCUUCUUAUAGAGUUAAGAAUCAAGGUUGAAAGACCAAUGAAGAUACUUAACGAUAAUCAAGGAGCAACAUUUGUUGCGAACAACCCAAUUUACCACACUAAACUUCGUCGACAUGUAGCAAUGGACUUGCAUUUCGUCCGGGAGAAAACUGACAAAGGAGAAGUAAAGGUCGAGCAUAUUCCAAGGAUAAAACAGAUGGUGGACAUCCUAACAAAAGCAUUAAACACCAAAUUAUUUUUGGAUCUCAGACUCAAACUUGUUAAUAGCAUUAAACCCCCCCUCCGGGUUUGAGGGGGGCGUGUUAAUAGUAUUAUUAGUAUCACUAAAGAAGCCAAACUAAUUUUGAAAUCGAUUAAUUUAGGUUAGUUGGUUAUCGGUUGAUUAUCAACCAAAGUAGUUAUUGUAAUUCCUAUAUAAAGACAUUAGACUUUAUUAAUAAAACUCACUCAUUUGUUGGAUGUUUACAAUAUAAAGCUUUAAUUGGUUGGAUGUUUAUAAUAUCUAUGUAAUAGUAGACCAGAUAUAACAGAUCCAGUGAAUCAAAUUGUAGAAUUUAUGAAAUGUCUUAGAACAACCCAUAUGGUAUCUGCAAAAAGAGUUUUCAACUUCUCAUACAUAUCAAAAGAACUUUAGGACAUGAGAUUAUCUUUCACAAAUUUAUAGUUAUAAAUUUAAAUACUUUUUAAUUGUGAUGCAGAUUUUGAUAGCGAUUCCAUGAUCGACAAGGAGAUCAAACAUUGGAAUAUAGGAUUUGUUUUCAAAAUCCGUCCUUAAAAGUCUGUUUUCUUGUAGUGAUGUAUUUGUGUUGGAUGCAAUUUAGUACAUUGGCAAUCUAGGAAACUACCUACAUUAAUAUCUAGGUCCGGUGUAGAGAUAGAGUACAUAUCGGACCCUUGCUGAUGCUGCAACAAAUUUAAGGUGGUGUGUUUUCAUAUAUAGUGAUUUGGGACUAAGAGGGCAAUAAUCAUCUAUUGUUUAUUUGUGAUAAUAAUUCAGCUCUUUUUAUGACUUUAAACCCCAUUACUAGAGCUAAAUCUAAGCAUUUUGAUAUUGAUUAUCACUUUGUGAGAGAAUUGGUACACUACAAGAAAAUUAGGCUACAACGAGGGCCUACUUUUCUCGCUAACCUAUGAAAUCCGUCGUUAAUAAUAGUUAGCGAGG